UUCACUACAGUGAUAGCUCCCUUUUUGGGUACAACAUGUAUGGGGCUUACCCAUUUGCUAUCCGAAAUAGGGUAAAUAACUCCAGCAUCAAGGAGUUUUAUAAUUUCCUUUUUAACUACUUCCUUUAGAUUCAGAUUCAAUCCCCUUUGCAGCGCUAUUGACGUUUUAGCGUAAUCUUCCAAGUUGAUCUGAUGCAUGCAAAGAUCAGGAGAGAUUCCAGGAAUGUCAUCGAGAGAAUACCCGAU
rnacentral:lncRNA from 1 species